AUUACAUACAGUUCAUACAUUUGUGAUGUUAAUGUGUGACAAAAUGAUCUAUUUUCGAGAUGCUAUACCGACACAUAGCAUACAUAUAGCUUUGUGGUGUUGUGGUUAAAGACAUUGCCUCUCACAUGGGAGAUUCAGGUUCAAAUUAUCUGAGAGCAACAACUUUCAUCCCUUCUGAUCGCGGUCCGGCUGAACUAGGCUUGCCUGGUUCCUUUUCUUGUUUUUAUCGGCAUAUAAAAAAAUACAAAAAAGAUCCAGAUGUGUUUUAUUGUGUUAAGUAGGCCAUUGUUGAGGAUGUGAUAGGCCUUUAUCACAUACAAAAAAGUCACAUCCGGAUAGCCGUAAGGGUGUAACUUUACAUCUGGUUGCAGUACGGAACUGUUUUUCACAAGUUCAUUGCGUGACCUGCCAAAAGUUGACCAAAAAGAUCAUCGAUAUUGCUGAGCUCCACAACUAAGAAGUCAAAGCUUGACAAAAGCUACAAGUCCUUUCACGAGAACUACCUUUUCAAUUACGAAGUGUCGAACAAGAUGAACAGGGAGGUUGUUGUCAGAGCUACAGGGUGCUACUGGUCAAUGAGGAAGAGCGAAGAGCCCCACUCACUGCAGAUUACUCUGCAAACCGAUGUGGAGCCUGCUGUCGUGCUGGGUUUAUUCUGUUCCUGUGCUGCAGGAAGAGCAAUGUCCAACCAUGUGGUUGCCUUGCUUUUCCAAACAGCACAUUUCAGCAUGAUGAACAUGAAGACAGUCCCACCACCUGUACCAUGCACAAGCUCACUACAAACAUGGCACAGGCCAAGGACUCAGGAACCCUUCCGGACCAGGCGGUGCUCUCUACUGAAGAGGCUUUAAGAAGCAUCACACCACAACCCCUGAUUUCCUCUGUUCUACAUAAUUUAGAGUCAACCAGAGAACUGUCUCUGGUUGACUCCAGGUUUGGACCUGUCCUCUGUAGUUCUGUCUUGUCCUACCAGUGUCCAUCAGUUACAACAAAGCUUGACAAUCACCCUGAUGCUCCAGUCUUUCCUAAACUCCCUAUAGGUAUGAAGUUAAAGAGCACAAUACAAUUUGUCCCAAUUUAAUCAUUUGGAAAGCCAUAAUGUCACGCAAGAAGUGUCCACAAUAAUAGAAGAAGGUACAAGACAGCAAUCAGAGUGCCUGCUAUGACACAAAAUGCAUGAGCCAAGAGUCACAGCCAGCAGGUUUCAUGUGUCAUGUGCGAGGAGAGUCCUCUGGUCAGGCACUGGCAAGACGCAUCAUUAAGGCGGGGCUAAAACCAGCCAAAUGAACCAGCCAAACCAGCCAAAUGAAAAGAGGUACAGCUCUAGAGCCAGAGGUCCUAGAGCAAUAUUAGAAAAUGUGUAAUGUCACUGUGUCACCUUGUGGCUUUGUAAUUCACCCAGAUGCUCCCCACCUUGGUGCCAGCCCUGACGGCAAGGUUAUUGACCCUGCAGCAAACCCUCCUUUUGGGCUUGCAGAGGUUAAAUGCCCAGAUGUCGACUGUUACCGAAGCAGUACACAUUAAACUUAUCAAUGUCCACACUUAUGAAAACUCAUAAAUACUACUGGCAAGUGCAAGGCCAUAACUGGAUUGAGUUGGUGCGACUUAAUUACAGACACUUAGGCAGACAUUAUAAUAGAAAGGGUUUGGAGGGAUGAAACCAUGAUAGCAUCAAUGAUUGAAAAAGUAGACCUAUAUUACUUUAACACAUACAUGGACGAGUAUCUGAGAAUGGCCUGAAGUUACAUCUGUAAAUUGUAAAUAAUGUAGUUUUACUUUUAGGGCCGGUUUCGCAGACACAGAUUUAGCCUAGUCUAUGACAAAGAAAACAAAACAAGCUCAAUUGAGUUUUCUAUUGAACUUGAUUUUUUUGUCCUAGACUAGGCUUAAUCCGUGUCUAAGAAAUCGGUCCAUACUGUGUUAAAACUUUGCUCUGCAUUACUGAAAGAUUUGUUUAUGUAUAUAGGAAACUUGUUUUUAGCAUAUUGUUUUUAUAUAUACAGUACUAUAUAUAUAUAUACAUAUACAUAGCUCUACACUACUGACAAUGUGUCUAACACGUGUACUGUGG
ensembl:lncRNA